AAAUAAUCUAUUCUACAACGAAGGGAGUAUAAAAUUUUAAAAAUUCUUUAAACAAACCGAGGCAGAGUCGUUUCAUCAUUUUUGGGUCACAAAUCCAAAGGUACUCUGUAGUUAUUUUAAACUAAAUCAAAUCCUUAUUACUUAUGUUUUGUAUUUUUUUUAUGGAAUCAGUCUAAACGGAGAAAAGAAAGGUCAAAACUCGUCUGUGCACAAAGCUCUGUAAUUCUAAAUGUUUUGUGCUCAUAGUUUUAGUGUGAUGUUUUGUGCUCAUAGUUUUAGUGUGUUUUUUUUGUGUUUCGACUAGUUUGUUAGUUUUUGGAAGUACCAAUUUUGUUGAAGUUGUUCAACUGUGUGUGUAUGUUUGUUUUUUGCAUCUGCAUUUGCGGGUUUCAGUAUUCGUCGCUAUGAUUGCACCCUACACAUUCAUCUAAUAAUAAUCUCUCACACACCCUACACAUUCACCUAAUAAUAAUCUCUCUCACACACACCCUACACAUUCAUCUAAUUAUAACACACACACACACACAUGAGCCCUUCCACACACACGCACCCUAGACAUUCAUCUAUACAUAGAGAUUCUCUAGUCUACUAUAUUAUUAUACAUAGAGAUUUACUGGCGCACCAUUUAAGCGGAAGAUGAACAAACGUAUAGAACUAUAUAUAUCGACACACUAGGCAGACGAAUCAAGCUUCUGUCGUUUCACUGCCAUCUCUCUCUACACAGUCAAUCCUUUUUUUCCUCUGUUUCUUCCAACCUUCAUCAAAUAAACCCAACAACAAAAACAAACAAACCAUUUCAGACAUCAGUUAAUAUCAAAAAGGUUUUAUCAUAAUUAUUUUCUCAAUAAAAACUAACAAUCGUUCUACAUUUUAGGCAGAAAAAGGGCAGUAUAUCGAAACCAAAUUUUGAAACAUACUUUCUACUAUUCCCAACACAACGAUAUUUCUAAAAACAGUUUUGAAGACAACAUGUUUUCAAGUACUCCAUCUUAAACACCCACAAAACACGAGCUGGAUUUUUAAAACAUGCUCAUUUGAAAUAUUUCUCUAAACUAUAUAACAUAAUUCCAUAACACACUAGUUCUAGCUAGUUUAACAAAGAAAAUUAAAUUAAAUGAGCGGAGUCUUUCUCUUACCUUUUACGAUGAUGAUGCCUCUCUCUCUUUGUCUCUGAGCAAGUGAGAGGAAACUGGAAAAUGUUCGGAGUCGGUAACAGAACUUAGAAACAGAAAUUGUAAGAACUAGUGUGUGUAUGUGUAUGAGUUUUGAACUUUGAACGAACAAUGAGAG
rnacentral:lncRNA from 1 species